UGGAUUCAUUAAAAUAUGAAGGCUUCGGCUGGAUUAUUUUUAUCACCCUUGUCUUUUGCGCACUUGUUGUUUCCUGGGCGGGUUCGCCCGCCACCAGGACCACACCAUAAACCUUUUUUAUGCAGUUGCAAUCAGCGUCAGUAUAACAAAUGUAAAUCAUUUACAACUUUCAACAACGGAUCUCUUGGUUCUGGCAUCGAUGAAGAACGCAGCGAAAUGCGAUACGUAGUGUGAAUUGCAGAAUUCAGUGAAUCAUCGAAUCUUUGAACGCACAUUGCGCCCUUUGGUAUUCCAAAGGGCAUGCCUGUUCGAGCGUCAUUUGUACCCUCAAGCUUUGCUUGGUGUUGGGCGUCUUUUGUCUUUGGCCUUGCCCAAAGACUCGCCUUAAAACGAUUGGCAGCCGGCCUACUGGUUUCGCAGCGCAGCACAUUUUUGCGCUUGCAAUCAGCACAAGGACGGCAAUCCAUCAAGACUACAUUUUUACGUUUGACCUCGGAUCAGGUAGGGAUACCCGCUGAACUUAAGCAUAUCUAAGGGGGAGAGAGAAUU
rnacentral:rRNA from 1 species